GGAAGAUACAAAGCUUUGCAGAAAAUAAACUAUAUUUCACUGCAGAAUAGCUGCAGUGUUCUGUAGGAAAGAAUCAAGCCAGGCCUUGUCUUUGAAAUGGGUCUGAGGAACCAGCCCCACGAUGCACAGAAAUGUAUUAUGAAAUCUGUUUCACCCAACCAAUUAAGUAUGAUCCCCUUUCCAUUCCUAGAUGACAGAGCUGAAGAGAAGAACCGUGCAAAGAUUAUCUACGCCAUCCCAGGCAGUUCUCUAUCCCUGACUGUGGACGUACCUGGGGACUUAAAGAUGAACAUGUUGGAGUGGAUGCUGAAAACAGAAAACACAGAGGUUACCAUACUGAAAAUGGCGACUGGAGGACACACCGUAUUCCUGUACAAGAAUCAAGUAGUGUUUAAGGAGACAGAUUAUUCCCUUACACUAACAAACCUGAGUCACAGAAACAGUGGAAUUUACACAGCUGUACUGAGUGAUAAAGAAGAUAAAAAACACAGACUCAACAUCUAUCGUGUAACAGUCCUUGCACCAAGUACAUUCUGUAUACGGCCGUAAAACUGGAGACCUGGAGACCUGAUUGGGAUAUCAGAUAUCAGACUGUGCUGUGCUGAGACUAGGAGAGUCUGUCCCUGCGUGUGCUGCACUCCGAUUGCAGCUCUGGGUUUGUCAUUUGAGGAAUUUCCCUUCACCCCGUCCAGUCUUCUUCAUCCUCUUUUCCAUUCUCCAGGUUUCUCUUGUUCGAUAUUCCUUGGAUUUGUGAAAUCUUGAUAUUCCUUCAAGUUUUGUAAAUUUAAGUUUAGGAAUUUGUAAAGCUGGUUUUUCUUUCGUUUGCAAAAUUACUAUAUUGCUAAUAUGUCAGUUGAAUCAGGUCAUAGCUAUAGUAGUCACGCCAGCCCUGAGCUAAUUUAAUGUACUGCAAAUCUUUUGUAAAAGUGGUGAUAGACAGUGAGGGAACACAUUUGAUCAUCAGCUAUUAUUUCCGGUUUUCAGAUGCAUCUGAUCAAUACAGAUACAUGAUACAUUUUUGUUCACAUGCUUAUUUUUAUUUUGAAAAAAAAAAUUAUAUCCACCUUCAAAGCAAAUAAGUAUACGUGCAUGGAUAGUAGUAGUAACAGUGGUUUUCUCACUGGUUUCAGCUUAUGACCAAUCUGUUAAUGCACAGACUACUCAUUACUGUCUUUCAUAUCACUUUUGUUAUUGCAAUAAAAAUAAUUUCCAGAC
ensembl:lincRNA